UUCCAAGAGCAACGAAAGAUUCUUCAACAAGCUAGAGUUGUUCAGAACCAGAGGCUGCAAAAAAUUAAAAAUUUAUAUGAGAAAUUCUUAAAGAGUAUGCAGGACUUAGAGAAGGAGCAUGAACAUCUUCUUGCUGAUGAACAAAGUGAAGUUAGGGAACAAAUUACCAAGUUGCAAAACAAAAUUAUGAUGGAAGCUCAACGGCAAGAGCUGGCAAUUGUUCAAAAGUCUCUUCAUUCCUUGUUGUUCUGAUGACUUUGAAGAAAGAACAGGAACCUAAGUUUUACAAUACAAGUGUAACAUUAGCUACGCCAAACCUCGUUGUAGUAGUUUAAAAAUUAGAGUUGAAAUCAGUACAUCUUGUUUAUCAUAGCUUUCUUGUUAAGUGCAAGAAUCUUCUCCUGUUAAAACCCCAAACCCUGACCAGUUAUGUGGGUAGCAGCAAUUCCACAAUUAUAUGCAUUGAGCUUUCAGUCCUUCAUUAGUAAUGGUGACUUUUUGUACUUAACACUGUCAAUUAACUUUUAACAAUAAGGAUGAUUCAAUUUUAGGCUUGGCCCCAGUGGAUUGGUAUCAGUCCCAAAAGUUUCAAUGCACAAGUACAGAAAGAAGGCUACACUGCUUUUUGAAAGAAAAAAAAAAUUAAAGAAUAUAAAAUCUAUCUUAUCUGUGUACCCACUUGUAUUUACUCAUUAGUUUACAGAGACAAUGCCAAUAAAAAUACG